CCCAAGUCCNUCUUCACCUUUGUCACAUUGGGCAAGUCACAUUCUUGCCAAUAUCAAGAAUAUGGGAGUCAUGUUUCUCNUCAUUACGCUUCAUUAGGCUCUCUCAUUGUUUGCUUUUUCUACAAAAAAAAAAAAAGGGAAAGAACAAGAAAGUAUUCUUACGGGAAAGCGUUUCGGUGCAGUGACCCAGGGGACUAUCUGGAGGAAAUUUCUUCAUUAUAAAAGGUGCGCACUGGGAUACUUCACGCUUGUGGCUGCUGAAAUGGACAGAUUUUCAACCUUGACGCUGCUGCUCCUGCUCCUCGGAACCUUUUGCUGUUUGGCCAAGGAGAAAGGUAGAAGACACCAUGUUAGCCAUGGAGAAAGAGCAGUCGGCAGAUCUAAACCAACCCUAUUAAACUGGUUUGAACACUGCGGUUGUUCAGAACAUUCCCAUCACCGUCACGAUGGCAGGAUAAAGCGGUAUUUGCAUCAUAAGAAACAGCAGUGCCAGAUGUUCCAAAAUUAUUGCCAUCUGAAGCGGCUCCAAAUCCCCCUGUAAUUUUCUCUGCCUCCAGAAUUCUGGGGCGCAUCAGGAGUUUUGUAUUUUUUUAAUAAAUACAUAUAUGCAUGUGUG
rnacentral:lncRNA from 1 species